ACUGAAAGUGCCAAGCUUCUAAUCUCUUGGUCUUUCUGGUGACCAGCCUUAUUCUGAGUCUAUCUAAGGGCACCACCCUAAGUUACCUCAUUAGGAUAAGAGCAAGGAUAAGGAUAAGAUAAGGAUGUGACUGACAAACCACACUCCUAUCACUAUGAAAUCCCAAGAGUUUGAGGAGCUUUGUGCCAGGAACCAGGGACAAAGACCACAUAUAUUUAUUAUACCACACUCACUUAACAUUAGCAAAUCCAUCAGGGCAUGCCCAGGCAUGAGUUGGCUGGAGCUUGGUUUAGCAGAGAUAAAAGUUUACAGUCAUACUCCUUCAGGAAAGAGUCUCACCCAGUGACCAGUUCCAAGGUCCAGCCUGACUCUUAGGCAAGAAUGAAGCAUAUUUCAUUUGAGCCCAUAGAUAUUUGAAAACUUUGAAACUCAGAAGAAAUCUCCCUUUCAUGGAACAUGAGGUGAGAAAGAGACUAUAUUUCACCACUUUAAAUAGCAUGCCUGUACUUCUCUGGUGGUGCAGUGGUUAAGGAUUCACCUGCCAAUGCAGGGGACACAGGUUUGAGCCCUGGUCUGAGAAGAUCCCACAUGCCAUGGAGCAAUUAAGCCAUGUAAAUCUGGACUAUGUAUCUUUGGUGAACUUUAUGUAACUUGUCACCGUGUCAUUUUGAUGAAUGAUCCUUUGUCUUGAAAAUGUAUAUAACUGUAUCACUGACCUCUAACAAGCAGAACAGUCCUCAGAAUUUUCUGAAAGACUGUCUCCCGGGUUAUAAUCCUUAUGUUGGCCUGAAUAAAAUUCUCUUUUUCUUCUUUA